ACUCAUUCUACCAGCUUCUAUUGAAUCUACAGCAAACAUUUACUUUUCCGCUUACUAUUGAGCUGACAUAUCUCAUGGUUGAAGAAUUGGACUUCCCAAAGAGAUGCUACGUUUACACAGUAAAGGACCACAUUAAGAGAGGAUGUGCAACGGGGUUUCAUCUGCAUUACUACAGAAUCUACACGAUUGGCAUCGCGCGCGAGUAUAGCGUGUAGAUUGCAUGUAGAACGCUAUCUUUGACUUUGAGGCCUAGGAUUGAGGUGUUUGUUUAAUCUGCAGUACCCCGUCAGUGUCCUAGUUAAAAUUCGUAAGUUCUCCCUACUGUACCUACGUAAGUCCCCUGGCUUAAAAAGGCUGCGCGAGAGGCACUGGGCCUCUCGCGCAGCCUUCUUGUUGAAGGCCUGGAUUAGGUAAGCCUGGACGAACAGUUUACGAAGCAUCCUUACACAAACAAUAAAUUCAAGCUCUAAAGGUGGAUGCAUCCCUAUUUACGAUAAUUUAUUUUUAUACAGUUAAUUAUUUAUAACUUUUUAUGAAAUGUUUAUAUCAUUCAAAGAGGACUCAUAAUAUAUUGGAUGCAGCACCUUACAAACUAAUUUGUUAUGUAUAUAACAGCCAUUGUAAAUUCCUCUAUUCGAUUGAAAGGAGUGGCCGUUGAGUUUCUUGUACCUUCUUAUGUUCUUCUCACAAGCUCAACUUUUUACGAACAUAUGGUAAGCUAAUGACGAUUCAAAAGAGGUUUGUUAAAACCUAAUUGAAUUUGAAGUUUAUUUGACUUUGAUUUUGAACAGUUGCUCCACAGUUUAUUACACUAAUGUGAACAUUAAACAAGACUAAUUGGUGCACCACAAAAGGGUUUAACCAAAUUGAGUGCUUUUGCACCAAUUCUUGCAAGUUCGUUAGUGCAUUCAAUGCCUUCGAUCCCUGCAAAUUCCGGAACUCAUCCGAAGUGUAACUCUGUUUAUUUCUCCCAGAGUAUCCAAAAUAGUCCAGCAGAUGUGUACAAGUCCUGAGACUGUUCUGAUAUAAAAACACUUGCCGAUGUAACCUUUAUUCAGAACGAUUUCCGCACAUUCUACUAUUACGUAUGGUACCUUCGCCUGAAAAACGGGGACAAGGUUCCCCAAGUUGACAGAUUCGAUAAAUUUGGGGGACUCUCCGUAGAUUUCACAGCCGACGAUUUCAGAUCCCGACUCGGAUCCAUAGGUAUACCCUUUAAGGCCAGUUUUUCCAAGUAAAUCAGUUGUUUAGCCAGUCCUCUAAUCCUACUUUCUCGAUCAUUUGUUGUCUCUGAGCCUCAGUGUAUCUGAGGUAUCAAGAGUGAUAUAUAAAAACAUCUUCAAUGAAUUAUGUACUUGUUUUCUACUGCAUAAAACACUUAUUAUUGUAGUGUCCGUUAGUUUAUUACAUAUUAAUACAAUUGAAUUAUAAUAAUAUUAAAAGUAUGAAUCCAAUUCAAAUGAUGAUUAAUUAAUCUGUAUGCGUAACGAGGGCCAUGUUGGCCUUUACCCACUCUAGCCACUUACGGAGCCUAAUUGUCUCAGUAUUUAUUGCUAUAUGUCGUUGUUAGAAUGACGCGAGAUCUCGAAGUGAAACAUUAACACAAAAAUUAGCAAAUGCGCUGUUUUUUUUUUGUAAAAAUAAUAGCGGACAGUAAAAAAGAUGUCUUUCGACGUGUAAGCACAAUUUUUCAACUAUGGUAUUGUUAGUUAGUCGUAAAGAUUUCUCACGUGCGUACGUAAACAAAUAUUACCUAAUACGUCAUUUUAAAAGUACUCAUUGAUCAUAUACAUGCUUCAGAGAUGAUGCAUAAAUAAUUAUUAAUUCCCUUGUCAUUUUUACUCAGUUAAAAAUAGUUAGAAGCACUACUGUCAUUAUUUGACAAUUUUAGUCACCCUCAACUCGGAUAAAUUGGUCGAUCAAUAUGAUACCAUAAUAAUAUAUUCUUCUUGUAUUUCGUAUCCAAUGGUUAAUUCGUCUAAAAUAUUUUAAUAUUGACACACACUUCUUAGUUUAUACAAUUUUUUUUUUUUAUAUAUUUAUUUAAAACUUUACAUAUUUAUAUAAAUAAAGCAGCAACCAAAAAUCACGAAGAUUUGUCCGGAUUGCUAACAUGAGUUGAGUUCGCAAUGAUAAUUAAAAUAAGAUCAGAAAAAACUUAAGUAAGUACAUACACAAGGUUUACAAGCAAAGCAUCAUUAGAUCAGGUUCGCAUUCAACCGGUCAUCGUUGAUUCAUAUCUCUAUGCGAAAGCGGGACACUGCUAUCUUUCGAUCGCGCUAUUCCGUCGCACACACACAGCGAUAUGUCUAUUCGCUCGGCCGGUGGGCGGUGACAAAGAACCCGAUGUUUGACCCACUUAGAAUGUAAGCUACAGGAUGUUCAAAAAUUGCAAUUUUAACUUAUCUCUAAUAUUUUUUCUGGUGAUGCUAAUUUUUACAGAUGGAUCAAUAUCAUUUAAUAGCCGAGGAACCAAAUAUUGUGUUCACAGACACUUCGUAUAUGAAAAUAAAGCAAAGAUUAAUUUUAGCUUAUUUAUUAUAUACAUGUAAAUAAUUUUUUUUAAACAAUAUAUACUCAAUUUGAUUUUUUUUUUCAAUUAUAUAUUUUCGAGCUCAUACGAUAGACACAUUUCAUCUGAAACAAAAAACAAUAUUAAACAUUGAAAAAUAUUCGCGGAAAAUAAAUCAAACUGUAUAUCCAACAGCUCGGUUACAAUAAAACCACAGACCUCUACUACAUACCACUGGACUGGCGGCUGUCAAAGAGCUUUUGUGCCUGUUUGAUAUUCGCCAUUAUGGUGCUGUUGACCAUGUUGCGAGAGUCUGUGGUACUAAAACUAGUAAUGACAACCUGAGCAAACAUAGAUAGGUGGUAAACUAUUUACAAAAAAAAAUGUGUACUUUAUUGAGUUGAUUCUUGAAGUAUAAAUAACUCGGAAAACGAACGCAAUUAAUUCAAAAUGCAAAAAUACUUCAGAGUAUUGUAUGUUCCUUCGCAGACAUUUGUAUUAUACGUCAAAAUUAGUUCUCUGGACGCUCGCGAGUGGCGCUUCAAAUAGUCACAAAAAAGAACAAUGGCGAAGUUUCAUACUACAAAAUACUUGAAAUUGAAUGGAAACGUCUCAAGAACUGACGUGUACUAAUUAAUUCUCUAUAAUUUUCUUCGUCUACUGACAUUAUUCAUUUUUAAUUUGGAACCGGAAUAAUGGAGAAAUAAAUGAUUAUUUUGUUUUAGUUUU